AUCUUGCCCCUAUAUAUAUACGUACCUUGGACGAAAUUUCCUUCAUUUUCUUCACCAUAAAAGGACCAGAAAACCCUAAGCAAUAUUCUCAAACCUUCUCCCAUCAAUCACAAACACUCCUAAAAGCAAAUCAAACAACUUCAACAUGGAGAAAACCAUGGCAAUUAGGGAAUUGUGAUUUCUUCACAAAUUUGCUUCUCGGAUAAGAACUUCACCUAGAAGUUACUUGGAGUUUGGAGUGAUUUUGAUCAUCUACAGAAAUCAUUCAUAAGGCGCUCGAGGACUCGGGAAACAUAUAUAACUCCAUCGACGAGGUACGGUAGACGGAUUGUUGUACCUUUCUCAGUAGGAUACCAAAGUUCAGCAGGGAUGUUCGCACUCCAUUCUCCGGAGUUGCUGGUCAGAGUCAUUAAAUAGGAUGCAUGCAUAUAUAUAGAGAGAGUAUGGCUAUGGGUACGUUGGGGCCACUGUCCCGACCAGUUGAUGCAUAUUAGUGCUCUUAGAGGCUUACAGACUAUCAGUCAGUGUACAGGUAUUGUGUUUGGCCUUGCCGGCCUUCUGACUAGUUAUCUUUCUUGGUUGUGGCCUUGUCGGCCCUAGUUAUGC